AACGAACGCUGGCGGCGCGCCUAAUACAUGCAAGUCGAGCGAGAAGGUGUAGCAAUACACUUGUAAAGCGGCGAACGGGUGAGGAAUACAUGGGUAACCUACCCUCGAGUGGGGAAUAACUAGCCGAAAGGUUAGCUAAUACCGCAUACGAUUCCAGGACUUCGGUCCUGGAAGGAAAGCACUACCGUGGGUAGUGCGCUCCUGGAUGGGCUCAUGUCCUAUCAGCNGUUGGUGAGGUAAAGGCUCACCAAGGCUUCGACGGGUAGCUGGUCUGAGAGGACGAUCAGCCACACUGGCACUGCGACACGGGCCAGACUCCUACGGGAGGCAGCAGUAAGGAAUAUUGCGCAAUGGGCGAAAGCCUGACGCAGCGACGCCGCGGUGGGGGA
rnacentral:rRNA from 1 species